rnacentral:rRNA from 1 species
GAUGAACGCUGGCGGCGUGCCUAAUACAUGCAAGUCGAACGAACCUACUAUAACCUUGCUCCUCUGCCCUUAGCGACAAGCAGGUGAGUGGCGAAUGGGUGACCAACAUAUGAGCAUGCUAUCAAUUCGAGGGGCCUGAGCUAAUGCCACAGGAGCUAUUAACCCACAAGCUUAGUUACUGAAAGGCAAUUUUGCAAAAGCUGAUUAUUCUAUCCGCGCCGCAUUAGCUAGUUGGUAAGGUAACGGCUUACCAAGGCAAUGAUGCGUAGCCGAAUUGAGAGGUUGAUCGGCCACACUGGGACUGAGACACGGCCCAAACUCCUACGGGAGGCAGCAGUAGGGAAUCUUCCGCAAUGGGCGAAAGCCUGAUGGAGCAACGCCGCGUGAGUGAAGAAGGUCUUCGGAUCGUAAAACCCUGUUGUUAGGGAAGAAAGAACGUGAAAGUAACUGUUCACGUUUCGACGGUAUCUAACCAGAAAGCCACGGCUAACUACGUG